rnacentral:rRNA from 1 species
AGAGUUUGAUUCUGGCUCAGGACGAACGCUGGCGGCGUGCUUCAUACAUGCAAGUCGAACGAGAAGUCACCUUCGGGUGAUGGAAAGUGGCGGACGGGUGAGUAAUGUGUAGAGAAUCUGCCCUUGAGUGGGGGACAACAGUUGGAAACGACUGCUAAUACCCCAUAUGAGCUUAGCUGAGAUGCUAAUCUUGAAAACUCCGGUGCUCAAGGAUGAGUCUGCAUCUGAUUAGCUAGUUGGCGGUGUAAUGGACCACCAAGGCUACGAUCAGUAGCUGGUUUGAGAGGAUGAUCAGCCACAAUGGGACUGAGACACGGCCCAU